rnacentral:lncRNA from 1 species
UAACAUAUCGACUCAUAAUGAGGAUGAUGUGGAAGAAGAAGUACUAAUUAAUUUUUUGGUUGUGUUUUUAAAAGUAUGGAUGUAUACAAAUUGUGUCAUAUGCUCCUUACUUUUAGGAUAUUUCUGCUGGAGGAAAACUACACUAUAUUACUACCUAAAUAACUUGAAUAACUGGUUGUUUCGCCGCAAUCAAAAUGAAGCUGCCCAUUAUCGAGACAAUAGUUUUACUUGGAUUGGACGAGAGACUUCAGUAUAAUACUAUUCGCAGUAACUAUUCACACAGUCAACGCCCAGUUUUAGACGUAAAGAAUUCACUUUACACUCCACAAUAUGCAUUCAAAGGCGGAGCGGCUCGACACACGUCCACACGCCACGACGGCCCGACAACCCCU